GGAUUUCAGCAAUGGUGGAUGGGGUUGAGAAGCAUUUUAUUUGUUGAUGAACUAAUGAAGGUUGUUGUGGCCUGUGAAAAGGAUCAAAGAAGCCAACAGAGAUGGAACUAAUUAAAGAAGGAAAAAUAAAAAUAGAGAAGAGGAGCCCAUAAUCGAAAGCUUCCUCAAUGUUUCUUUUUCUACUGCUCUGCUCUGUUUAAUAGAGUGGAUAUAUAUACAAGUAUAUCUGUUAGGAUUAUAGCUAUUCUAAUGCCUAUUCUAAUGCAAUUUUGACUUUACAAACGUAACCAGAUAAUAUACUUUACACCCCCCUCUCAAGCUGGAGUUGGUGAAAAAUCAACCAAUCCAAGCUUGCACACAAAAGUCUGAAAGAGUUGAGAAGACAAAGGCUUUGUGAACACAUCAGCGAGCUGUAAGGAACUUGGCAAAUAAGGGGUACGAAUAAAACCUGUUUGUAAGUGUGCCCGAACCACAUGACAAUCAAUAUCGAUGUGUUUUGUGCGCUCAUGAAAAACAGGGUUAGCCGCAAUAUGAAUUGCUGCUGUGUUAUCACAAUGUAAUGGAAUUGGAGUAGGAACAAGAAUGUGAAAAUCUUUAAGUAAGGAGAACAGCCACUGAACCUCACAAACAGUUGAAGCCAUGGCACGAUACUCAGAUUCGGCAGAGGACCGGCUGACAGUGGAUUGUUUCUUGGACUUCCAUGACACCAAUGAAGUACCCAAAAAUAUACAAUACCCAGUAAUGGAUCGCCUAGAAUCCGUACAAGAUGCCCAGUCGGCAUCGGAGAAAGCCCGAAGCUUAAGAUCAUUGGAGGCAGGAAGAAAUAACCCCUUGAAACUAGUACCAUGUAAGUAGCGUACUACUGCCAAUACUGCCUUAAAAUGUUGUUGAUGAGGAGUUUGCAUAAAUUGGCUCAACUGUUGAACAUCGUAGCUAAUGUCCGGUCUUGUAAGGGACAAAUAUAACAAUCUGCCAAUUAGAUGCCUAUAACACUCCGGGUCAGGCAAAGGUUUGCCCAUGUCUGAACUGAGUUUGAGCCCUUGAACAUAAGGACUAGAAGUUGGUUUAGCAUCCUGUAAACCUGUGUCAGCAACAAUAUCUUUUAUAAACUUAUGCUGAGUCAACAACAUCCCUGCCGGUGAUCUAGCUAUCUCAAUACCCAAAAAAUACUUGGCAUGCCCAAGAUCUUUAAUAGUGAAUUUGUCAUGCAAAUAAGUCUUUAAUUCAGCAAUCAAAUCAACUGAAGGACUAGAAAUCAGGCAAUCAGCAACAUAAACCAAGACAACUAUGAAUGUAUGACCUUGACUACGAGUAAACAAACAGUGAUCAAAAGAAGAUUGAUGAAAUCCCUUAGUUAAUAAGCUCGCAGUUAAUUCCUUGUUCCAUUGUCUGCCAGCCUGCUUUAACCCAUAAAGAGAACAUUGUAAUUUACAAACUUGCCCUAGUUUGGCCUUCUCAUAUCCCGGAGAUACCUGCAUAUAAAUAUCCUCAUCUAUAGAGCCAUGUAAGUAUGCAUUAUUUAUAUCAAGCAUAUGUACCGGCCAAGCAGAUGCAGUUGCAAUAGUCAACAAAACUCGAACCGUAACAAGCUUUGCAACAGGGGAAAAUGUCUGGUUGUAAUCCAGACCAAGGAGUUGAUUGUACCCCUUAGCAACUAGCCGAGCCUUGUACCUCUCAAUACUGCCAUCUGCAUUAUACUUCACCCUGUAUAUCCACUUACAACCAAUAGGAGUAACAUUAGAAGGCAAAUCAGUAAGCACCCAUGUAUUAUUUUGCUCUAAUGCAGUUAAUUCUUUAUUCAUGGCAAUUACCCAAUUAUUGUUAUUUUUAGCUUGAUUAUAAGUGCAAGGCUCAAGAACUUUAGAUAUCUGUGCAACAAAAGAUAAAUGUGAAGAAGAAAAAUGGAUGUUGGAGUGGGUUUAGGAAUCAGUAACAAAAACAUCUAGCCAAGAUGGAGGUUUCCGUUGUCUUGUACCUCGUCUAAUCACAGACGGCUGAACAUGAGACAAAUCUGUUGUUGGACAUUCAACUAUUUCAGUUAAGAUAUCUGCUGAUGUAUUCAGCUGAGGUUGCUGUGCACUAUUUUCAUCAAAUAUAUGCUGUUGUUCUUGUUGUUGCAUAAAAUCUAUGUCUGAUGUAUGUGGCUGGUCAAGUUGCUGUACAAAAUCAUUGUUGGGUGAAGAGCUAGGAAAGGUAAAGUGGAUGUCUUUGUUUGAAAUACAUUUAGGCAAAGAAAAAUCAGUAACACUUUCGGGUUUUGUAUGAUGAAAGGGAAAUACAGAUUCUGCAAACACAACAUCACGUGAACUGAUAAUGGUCUUUGUAAUCAGGUUGUACAACUUGUAUGCCUUUUGGUGUGGAGCAUAACCAAGCAAAACACAUGAUGACGCUCUUGGAUCAAAUUUCAAUUUGUGAGGUAAGGUAUUGGUAGCAAAACACAAGCAGCCGAUAGUACGAAAAUAACUGUAAUCCACUGGCUGCCCAUGCAACCGCUCAUAAGGUGUUUGCCAGUUCAGGUUUUCAGAAGGUAAUCUGUUGGUAAUAUGGGUGGCGGUUAACAGCAACUCGGACCAGAAUUUGUGGGGUAAUUUGGAUUGAUGCAACAAGGCUCGGGCUAUGUUUACUAAUGACCGGUGUUUCCGUUCAACCACACCAUUCUGCUGUGGAGUAUAAACACAAGAUCGCUGAUGUAAUGUUCCAUUUUCUUGAAAGAAGGAACUACAGGUAGUGUUCAAGAAUUCGGUGUCGUUGUCUGUUCUCACAACUUUAACCCUCUUAGCAUAAUGAGUGAACACAUAAUGGAAAAAAAUUUUCAAGGCUGAAAAUACUUACUCUUUACUUUUCAACAUGUAAGUCCAACAAAACCGACUAAAAUCAUCUACGAUAGUCAACAUAUAAACAGCAUUUGUGAUAGAUUUCAAAUGGUAAGGACCCCAUAAAUCAACAUGAAGGAGAUUAAACACUUCCUUAGUAGAAAUUCGACUAGUUGAAAAAGGAAUUCUAAUUUGUUUUGCAAUAGGACAAACAGAACAAAUCAAGUCUGCAUAGUCACAUUUGGAAACACCAGCAAUGUGCUUUAAUCGUUUAUGAGCAACAUGUCCUAAUCUAGCAUGCCAAAGCAUAGCUAAAUGCCUAUCAUGUUCAUUACAACCAGCAACAAAAAAACAACUUAUUUGCUUAUUAAAAGAAUCUCUAGUCACAAAGUAAAGGUCUUCGAUAACUCUUCCUUCUCCCAAAACCUCCUCAGUCUGUAAAUCCUGGAACAAACAAUGUUCAGGGAAUGAGUGCACUGACAAAUGACAGGUCCGGGUGUGUAAGCUAACGGAUAACAAGUUGCAGCUAAAAGAGGGAACGUACAGGACAUUGUACAAAAUUAUCCUAUCAUUCAAUUUGAUAUUUCCUAUAUGUGUGACCUUUCUGAUGGUUUUAUCGGGUAAACGGAUUGUUUUGGGUGGAUUUACUGAACAACUUGAUCAAAAAAGGACAAUUUAGGUGUGAUAUGGUCAGUUGCACCAGAAUCAAUUAUCCAGUUAUCCUUACAAUUAAAAUCAAUACCAAUAAUAACAGAAUUGAGUAAUGUACCUGCGAAAUUCACGUUGCGAACGUCCUCUGCAACAGGAUUAGGAAAUCCUCCUUUGGCUCGUAGGAACUUUUGAAACUCCUGCUGAAUAUAGUCUAUCACUGCGUUGCCUUGAACAUCACUACUUUUUUGACUCAGAACAUGCUGCUGCAGUGGAGAAUCUGAGACGGCAACUUGUGCAACAUUAUUUGCACUAUAAUAUUUUCUCACAUCGACUUCUCUUUUCUUCUGCAUUUCGAUAAACCAGCUGGGAUACCCAUUAAUCUGAAAACAAUCUUCUAUAGUAUGCCCCCCAAUUUUGCACUUGGUGCAAUACUCCUUUUUCUUAUCCUCUUUCCUGGGAUAAGAACUGUAUCGGUUAUUAUUCCUGGAACUGCUGGUAUUAUUUGAGUAAUUGUUGUUACCCCUUCGUGCCAUCAUAACAACAGCAGUCUCAGUGGAUGUGGCAUUGCUGGUUUGCACUUCUCUCUGCUUUUCUACGCUCAUAACCAUAGAAUAAGCCUUAUUAAUCGAAGGUAGAGGACUCUGCAAUAACACCUGAUUCUUCACAUUAUCAUAUUCAUCACCUAAACCCAUCAGAAACUGCAUAAGCCGUCUAUUAUUGUCAUAAUCUGAAAUCGCAGUACCAGUCUCACAGCAAACUGGUAAAGGGGCUAAGCACAAUAACUCAUCCCACUUCUUCUUGAGCUUUGUAUAAUACUCAGUCACAAAUUCGUCUCCUUGUUUAUAACCAGCAAUGUCUCUCUCAAUUUGGUAGAUCAUAGGACCAUUACUUUCACCAUAACGCUGUUUGAGUUCAUCCCAAAGGGCUUUUGCACUUUUUAAAAAAACGAAAGCAUCAGAGAUGUCUUUCGACAUAGCAUUGAGUAACUAAGAUACAACCAUGCUGUCCGCAGUUGCCCAUUUCUCAUAAUCAUCGGAAUCAGGUUCUGGGGCUUUGAUUGUCCCAUUCACAAACCCUAAUUUUUUCUUAGCCCUUAAGGCUAUUUGCACAGCUCUGCUCCAGGAGAUGUAAUUCGGGCCUUUCAAAGGAACACUGACAAGGCUAAAUCCGGGGGCUUCAGAACUGUGAAUUUGAUAUGGAUCGGUCUCAUUGCUUUUGGUGGUAAUAGCAGCGAGAAUCUUCGCCAAAUCAUCUGGAGACAUCAUUGUCUCAAAUCUCAACAAAUCUCUCAAGGAGAUAUAAUUAAUUGAAUACAAGAGUGAUUGGCUUUGAUACCAUGAAAAGGAUCAAAGAAGCCAACAGAGAUGGAACUAAUUAAAGAAGGAAAAAUAAAAAUAGAGAAGAGGAGCCCAUAAUCGAAAGCUUCCCCAAUAUUUCUUUUUCUACUGCUCUGCUCUGUUUAAUAGAGUGGAUAUAUAUACAAGUAUAUUUGUUAGGAUUAUAGCUAUUCUAAUGCCUAUUCUAACGAAAUUUUGACUUUACAAAUGUAACCGGAUAAUAUACUUUACAGCCUGUAAUCUGAUUUGGGAUAGUAGGAACAAAUUAUUUCUUUUCGAGUAAAGCUACUGGAAGUUUCAGCUUUGCUUCAUCAGGUUCGUUUUCUUGUUACUGAGUUCUUAGCGACGUCAACAUGCAUGAUAUUCUAACUGCUUCUUCGUCCACUUCUCGAGCUCUUCUACGUUGGACACCUCCAGAGUUUGUCUUUGUCAAACUUAAUGCUGAUGCCGGUUUGUGCUCAACCUCAGGUUGUUUUAGUUAUGGAGCUGUUUUCUGUGGGCACGAUGGUCAGAUCCUUGCACCUGCUAUGAAGUGUAUUAGGGAUACUUAGGAGGAUCCAGUGGUUGUUGAGGCUCAGGCUAUGCCUUUUGCUCUUCAGCUAACUCUUGAUCUUAGCUUUUCUCAUUUGGUUGUUGAAUUUGAUAGUUUACAAGUCAUUGAUUUAUUGCACAAAAUGGAAUGUCCUUCUUCUUCCCUAGGUGCCAGCAUAAGAGAUUGCUUAAUGCUUGUUGGGUCUUCGCAAGAGAGUAGGUGGUCACAUAUUAAACGUGAUGGUAAUUCUGUUGCACAUUCUUUAGCAGCUCUUGCGCAUUUUGAAGAUGGUGUUCAGAUAUGGGUGGAAGCCUACUCUGCUCCAAUUAAAUCUUAUGUACCUG
rnacentral:lncRNA from 1 species